rnacentral:rRNA from 1 species
UACGUAGGGUGCAAGCGUUGUCCGGAAUUAUUGGGCGUAAAGAGCUCGUAGGCGGUCUGUCGCGUCGGCUGUGAAAACUCGGGGCUCAACUCCGAGCCUGCAGUCGAUACGGGCAGGCUAGAGUUCGGCAGGGGAGACUGGAAUUCCUGGUGUAGCGGUGAAAUGCGCAGAUAUCAGGAGGAACACCGGUGGCGAAGGCGGGUCUCUGGGCCGAUACUGACGCUGAGGAGCGAAAGCGUGGGGAGCGAACAGG